UACGUAGGUGGCAAGCGUUGUCCGGAAUUAUUGGGCGUAAAGCGCGCGCAGGCGGUCCUUUAAGUCUGAUGUGAAAGCCCUCGGCUCAACCGAGGAGGGUCAUUGGAAACUGGAGGACUUGAGUGCAGAAGAGGAAAGUGGAAUUCCAAGUGUAGCGGUGAAAUGCGUAGAGAUUUGGAGGAACACCAGUGGCGAAGGCGACUUUCUGGUCUGUAACUGACGCUGGAGGCGCGAAAGCGUGGGGAGCAAACAGG
rnacentral:rRNA from 1 species